UACGUAGGGUGCGAGCGUUGUCCGGAAUUACUGGGCGUAAAGAGCUCGUAGGUGGUUUGUCGCGUUGUUCGUGAAAACUCACAGCUUAACUGUGGGCGUGCGGGCGAUACGGGCAGACUGGAGUACUGCAGGGGAGACUGGAAUUCCUGGUGUAGCGGUGGAAUGCGCAGAUAUCAGGAGGAACACCGGUGGCGAAGGCGGGUCUCUGGGACGGUACUGACGCUGAGACGCGAAAGCCAGGGGAGCAAACGGG
rnacentral:rRNA from 1 species